rnacentral:lncRNA from 1 species
AAACAUCACACUAAAUAAUGUUAAGCUAAUAUUUUUAAGAAAACCUAUCACAUAGUAAACUUUUAACAACUGUCCAGUUUGGUUUUUUUUCCCAAUCUUCUUUUGCUCCCAAACUUACUAGCCAUGCCUUGUUACACAAUAAGUAGAAAAAAGAAAGUUAUAGAAACAGCUCAAUUCUCUCACAAAGAUGUGGAGAAAAGAUAUAAACUCCAAAAUCAAAACAAAGUAGCCUCUUAAGAUUAUCCACCACAGAGUUUUCUCUUAAAUAAAUUUAAGUUUUAAAAAGAA